rnacentral:tRNA from 1 species
CUCGUUAGCUCAGUAGGUAGAGUGUCAGACUUUUAAUCUGAAUGUCAAGGGUUCGACACCCCCCUACGAG